rnacentral:tRNA from 1 species
CCGACUUUAGCCCAGUUGGUAGAGCGGAGGGCUAUAGUGGGAAGCACCCUUCACCAUCAUUAGGUCGCUGGUUCGAAUCCGGCAGGUAGGA